GGGGCUAAUUCUCGAUAGGUGAAGAACUCUGGAAUGAGUCUUUGCCAAAAAGAUGCUAGAGUUAUGCUCUUUGGCAUCGCCCAAGGAUGAGGCCGCGACCGAUCAGGUUGUUGGUGAGGUAAUGGCUCACCAAGCCUUUUACCGGUGCGGGCCGUGAGAGCGGGAGCCCGGAGAUGGGCACUGAGACAAGGGCCCAGGCCCUACGGGGCGCAGCAGUCGCGAAAACUUUGCAAUACACGAAAGUGUGACAGGGCUAUCCCGAGUGCCAUCCGCUGAGGAAGGCUUUUACCCAGUCUAGAACGCUGGGGGAAUAAGGAGAGGGCAAGUCUGGUGUCAGCCGCCGCGGUAAUACCAGCUCUCCGAGUGGUGUGGAUGUUUAUUGGGCCUAAAGCAUCCGUAGCUGGCUAAGUUAGUCCCUUGUUAAAUCCACCGAAUUAAUCGUUGGAUUGCGGGGGAUACUGCUUGGCUAGGGGACGAGAGAGGCAGACGGUAUUUCCGGGGUAGGGGUGAAAUCCUAUAAUCCCGGGAAGACCACCAGUGGCGAAGGCUGUCUGCUAGAACGCGCCCGACGGUGAGGGAUGAAAGCUGGGGGAGCGAACCGGAUUAGAUACCCGGGUAGUCCCAGCUGUAAACGAUGCAGGCUAGGUGUUUGGACGGCCACGUGCCGUUCUAGUGCCGCAGGGAAGCUGUUAAGCCUGCCGCCUG
rnacentral:rRNA from 1 species